rnacentral:rRNA from 1 species
UUGCGGCUAUGUACCCAUGAUGUGGCUCAGCCCCUCCUGCUCGAGGGUCGGACU